GUCCUGGAGGACUAGUGGUUAGGCCACAGCGCUCUCACCACUGUGGCCUGGGUUCGAUUCCUGGCCAGGGAA
rnacentral:tRNA from 1 species